rnacentral:rRNA from 1 species
AGAGUUUGAUCCUGGCUCAGGGUGAACGCUGGCGGCGUGGAUAAGCCAUGCAAGUCGAACGGUCCGCAAGGACAGUGGCAGACGAGGUAGUAACGCGUAGGUACAUCCCCCAAAGUCGGGCAUAGCCAGCCGAAAGGUUGGGUAAUUCCCGAUGGCCCCGUAAGGGUAAAGAUUUAUCGCUUUGGGAGUGGCCUGCGUAAUAUCAGCUAGUUGGUGAGGUAAUGGCUCACCAAGGCUACGACGUUUAGGGGAGCUGAGAGGCUGACCCCCACCGAUGGGACUGCGAUACGGCCCAUACUCCUACGGGAGGCUGCAGGCGAGAAUAUUCCGCAAUGGACGCAAGUCUGACGGAGCGACGCCGCGUGAUGGAUGAAGUGCUUAGGUACGUAAACAUCUUUUAUCGGGGAAGAACUUAUUGACGGUACCCGAUGAAUAAGGGGCUCCUAACUCUGUGCCAGCAGGAGCGGUAAUACAGAGGCCCCGAGCGUUACCCGGAAUCACUGGGCGUAAAGGGUGUCCAGGCGGCCUUGUUAGUCUUUCGUAAAAUCUAUGGGCUUAACCUAUAGCGCGCGAAGGAAACGGCAAGGCUCGAGGGCGCGAGAGGUAGAGGGAACUCACGGUGGAGGGGUGAAAUCCGUUGAUAUCGUGGGGAACACCAAAGGCGAAGGCACUCUACUAGCGCGUUCCUGACGCUCACACACGAAAGCCAGGGGAGCGAACGGGAUUAGAUACCCCCGUAGUCC